GUAGGGUGCAAGCGUUAAUCGGAAUUACUGGGCGUAAAGCGUGCGCAGGCGGUUAUAUAAGACAGAUGUGAAAUCCCCGGGCUCAACCUGGGAACUGCAUUUGUGACUGUAUAGCUAGAGUACGGCAGAGGGGGAUGGAAUUCCGCGUGUAGCAGUGAAAUGCGUAGAUAUGCGGAGGAACACCGAUGGCGAAGGCAAUCCCCUGGGCCUGUACUGACGCUCAUGCACGAAAGCGUGGGGAGCAAACAGGAUUAGAUACCCUGGUAGUCCCACGCCCCUAAACGAUGUCAACUGGUUGUUGGGUCUUCACUGACUCAGUAACGAAGCUAACGCGUGAAGUUGACCGCCUGGGGAGUACGGCCGCAAGGUUG
rnacentral:rRNA from 1 species